rnacentral:rRNA from 1 species
AUGGACCGACUGCUACCCGAUGGCGUGCUCGCGGACAUCCUCCGCCGUCUCCAGCCACGCAGCCUCGCCCUUUCACGCUGCGUCUGCAGGUGUCUCCGCAACGUCGUCGACGACCACCGCCUGCUGCAUGCGGACCUCCUCCCCCUGUCGCUGGGCAAGAUCGUCGCCAACUUCAAGGGUGUGGAAAUCUCAGAAUUC